rnacentral:rRNA from 1 species
CAGUCGCCGCGGUAAUACGUAGGUGGCAAGCGUUGUCCGGAAUUAUUGGGCGUAAAGGGCUCGCAGGCGGUUCUUUAAGUCUGGUGUAUAAGUGCGGGGCUCAACCCCGUGAGGCACUGGAAACUGGGGAACUUGAGUGCAGAAGCGGAGAGCGGAAUUCCACGUGUAGCGGUGAAAUGCGUAGAGAUGUGGACGAACACCAGUGGCGAAGGCGACUCUCUGGUCUGUAACUGACGCUGAGGAGCGAAAGCGUGGGGAGCGAACAGGAUUAGAUACCCCAGUAGUCCCUGUCUCUUAUACA